rnacentral:piRNA from 1 species
AUUUUACCUUGUGCUGUACCC